GUCGGAAAAGCAGCAUCCUCAUUCGGCCUCUAGCCACCACUGUGUUCGGAACUCUGUGACUCGCCUUCCCGUAUAACCUACUCGAUCCCGUGAUUUACUCCUGAAAGUAGAGAUAAAUAGUACAAAUAUAAAUCUGAAUCUUUACAUGAAAAGUAAAUUAGCAGGAUAGAGACAGAUGUUAUACUAUUACCCUGGCAUUAGAUAGUCGUCCAAAGAGCUGGAUUUAUCAAGCGCAAGUUUUGGGAAGCGAGGGAUUUACACCAACAAAAUAAAAAUCCUUUGCCUUAAACGUCAACCAAAAUCCUGGAUGCGGAAUCAAAAGACACUCGUAGUUGUAGAAAGAUAAUACUAAGAGAAGUCGAAAAUACCCUUGCGUUCCCUUCUGAAGAAGAAGAAGAGGAGGAAGAAAAAGAAGAGGUAGAGAGGGAGGAAUCUCCAAGUGUCCUUGGGAGUCAAUGAGAGUGAUCCCAAACGCAGUGUUCGCAUUCGAGUGAUAGCAAAGGCGAAGAGAGCCAUUUCAAAGUUCGCGAAAUUGUCAUUGUGUACUUGGAAAUAUAUAAAUAUAAAAAUCUAUUUCUUUAUAGUAGUAUGUUGUAAGUGAUUCACUCAUGAGCGUUUUAGUGCCGUGUUCUUGUUGUUGUUGAUCACUACGGGAAGUCUAUCGAGUUAGAGUUUGCUGGAUUGCCGAAGCAAUUUGGCGCGUCUCCUGUUAUACGUAGAGUAGUUUGUUGAUGUUCUCUCUCCGUUUCCGCGAGUGAUUUCCGAGUUCUUAAAUGAGAACUACGCCUACGUAUGUUACCGACAGAGGGAUUCAGGGGCUCGACUCUCCCUCCCCCUAGCGCGUGUAGUACUAGAUACUCGCACAUCUACGCGUACCCCUACCUUCCUCCGAAGGUCCUCCGCACCGCCGAAGGCUUUUUCAUAACCUUCAAGCUACACCGACGAUCCGUCCACUCGUCAUUAAGAGCAUCUAGUCCUCCACUGGAGUGGUGGACGUCCUUCCCUUCGCACUCCUGAUUAACAGGGAUCCCGUUGCCGGGUCCUGGGGCGUAAAAGCCAACAUUUUUUUCAAGAGCUGUCACCCAAAACCGCCAAGAUUUUCGUCCCAGGUCGAGGAAAGAUAAUCCAGCCAUUCACUAUGGACUUAGACUCUAAUCUAUUCAACAAAAGGAAAUCUUCGAUAGAUGCAAUUGUACGGGACUUUAAAAGUGACGAAGCAACGAGGGGGGACAAAGACGCGUCGGAGGGACCUAAGAAUAUAUACCACGGUCGCUUUAAUCCACAGUUAAAAGUUUUCACUCCUUUUAUUCGAGGUAAGUCGG